CCCGGGAAGGGUGGAAGGGGGUUCCCUGGUGCACGGAUCUCGAGGGUGCUCAUUGUUCGGUUUGAGCCUGGGUCUCCCACUCCCUCCACCCCCUC
rnacentral:pre_miRNA from 12 species